AUCCAUACACAGCUGUUCGCAGUGCAUUCAGCGCUACUUCGCACACGGAAGACAGUUUAUACAGCGUUUCUUUUGCGAUAUUUUCCUCUUUUUGGUGCUUUUUUAGGCCCUAAGGACAUCAAGGACAUUGAUGGUUAUAUUCCGAUCCCUCCAACUCGCACGACAAACGUCAUGACGAACAGUCUGUACUUGGUUUUGGUGGUCGUUUUUGUCGGAAUUAUAACAGGUUCCACGGCGCUCAACUGCUGGCAAGAGGACAAGAUGCCUACUGGGAUGAUAGGAGGAUCCAAGGGUAUGAUGGUGACGUGUGGUGACAAGAACGAUGUUUGCGUGCACAUGGAAUGGCUUGCCCAAACGAGACCCGAAUGGCGAUGGGGAUCCCGUAAGGACUGCGGAAAGUGGGAAGAGACGUGCGGGGAGCCAAGCAACAAAAUUCGAGACAGAUUCAAGUGCUGGACGUGCUCGACUAAUAUGUGCAACGCCUCCUGGCGGAUGAUGCCGAAUUUGUCAAUCUUGUUACUUCCUUUUGCCAUGUUGAAAAUGUUUUUGUAAAUAUGUUGGUGCCGGACGUCCUUUAGCCAUGCAAAUCAGUGUCAUCUUUGAUCAUGGACUGUCUCGGUCACGUGAUUGUCCAGGGUGAACGGUGCCGGUGUAAAAGUAAAAAGUGUCCCCCCUAGAAAAAGUGUCCGGGCCUAUUGUACUCUGACAGAUUAUGGCAUAUGGUUCUAUAGAGGCAAUGACCGUCACUAGCUCAGCGCAUAAUAGAAUCCUUUGUUCCCGGACAUUUUAUCCUAGGACAUUUUAAAUUUCUACACCGGAACGAAAUGGUAGCAGCAGCGUGCGCUGACUGAUCACGGGAAUUAAGUGACAAUAAUUCAACAGAAGGUUCAAGUCCACAUCUCAAACAUACGCUAGAGCUCGGCCUCGGCCUUUCUCCGUAGAGUAUAUUUGACCCGUCAGUUUUAACAACCAGCCAUCUUCAUCGGUAUCUGUUUUAGAUUUUAUACAUAUGACUAUUCAUGUUUAGACAAAUACUCCAUCCCUUGUUAAUAAGCAACUGACACUUUUUCUGUACUACGGUGACGAAAUGCUAAACUAUCUUGAUUUUCUUGUGCAUUGGCAAAGGCUAGGCUUUAACAUUUGCUUGGUUCUCAUCCUCGAUUUACGGGUGACAAGAUUUUAACCUAUUCAUAGACUGAGCUAAUUUUUAUAAAUUUACAGAAAUAUAGCUUUUUGGUGGAAUUGACUUGUAAGCGAUGCAUCUGUCCUACACAAUUAUGCAGUUUUGUAUUCAUGUAGAAAUUUCUGUAUAUAUAAGUACCACUCAUGUAUUGGCAUUUUAAUUGCUGAAAAUUCCUGGCUGAUCUUGUUGAUAUAAGUAAAAUUCGUCCAAUUUAAAGUGUUCAACAUAUACAUGUAUUGGGACAGAAAAAAGCUGUUUUAAAUAGAGAUAUGGACUGAUUACAGAGGUAAGGAUAAAUGACCACAUUUACUGUGCUCAGAGAGAGGUGUCCGCUUAGAAGGGUUCCACUGUACAUUGACACUAGACCCUCUCUAAGCGGACUGCACCUCUGUAAGCAGGACCCCACCUCUCUAUUGAGGAUACUUUUGAUUUAGGUCCAAAAUUGGUAAUUUUUAUUCAAUUUGACCUCUGUAAUCAGGGACCAUGGGUGUUCUGCUGUAUUUGACUGUUUUGGAUAAAACUGUUGAAGAUAGUGAUUAUCAUAUUAGAUGUAUUAGUUUUAUUCAUAUCGUAGGAAAACCAUGUAAAGUUUAUUUAGUUCAGCUGCUGGUAUUUUCAAAAUGCUUUGUAAUCAGUGUAAUGUAUAUAAAUGAUUGUUUCAUUCAAUAAAAUUGAGGAUUAUAUAAGUAAAUAGGUCUCUAGGAUUUUAAGUA